CCUACGGGAGGCAGCAGUGAGGAAUAUUGGUCAAUGGACGAGAGUCUGAACCAGCCAAGUAGCGUGAAGGAUGACUGCCCUAUGGGUUGUAAACUUCUUUUAUAAAGGAAUAAAACGAGGCACGUGUGCCUUUUUGUAUGUACUUUAUGAAUAAGGAUCGGCUAACUCCGUGCCAGCAGCCGCGGUAAUACGGAGGAUCCGAGCGUUAUCCGGAUUUAUUGGGUUGAAAGGGAGCGUAGAUGGGUUGUUAAGUCAGUUGUGAAAGUUUGCGGCUCAACCGUAAAAUUGCAAUUGAUACUGGCAGUCUUGAGUACAGUUGAGGUAGGCGGAAUUCGUGGUGUAGCGGUGAAAUGAUUAGAUAUCACGAAGAACCCCGAUUGCGAAGGCAGCUUACUAAACUGUGACUGACAUUGAUGCUCGAAAGUGUGGGUAUCAAACAGGAUUAGAUACCCUUGUAGUC
rnacentral:rRNA from 1 species